rnacentral:rRNA from 1 species
CCGGUGGCCGGGGCCGACUUGCGCGCCGCCUUGGUGGCCAGCUGCUUCCGCGGCGCCUUGCCGCCGGUGGACUUGCGCGCCGUCUGCUUCGUGCGGGCCAUCGGAGCUGGUGGGGGGAGGAGUCUAGGGUUUGGAUGCUUCGCCGGUGGGGGAUUUGAGCUGUGGUGUGGUCUGGUGGGUGAGGCGCGGGGAUUAAAUAGGGGCGAGGCGUGGGCGGGGGUCGGGAAAAUUUUGGGGGCAGAAGGCGCGGGCUGGAGGAAGGAGACGAAGUUUGGGGCGUCGGAUUGGUGGGAGAUGGACGGCUAG